rnacentral:rRNA from 1 species
AACGAACGCUGGCGGCAUGCCUAACACAUGCAAGUCGAACGAGAGCUUCGGGUCUAGUGGCGCACGGGUGCGUAAAGGGGGGGAAAAUGCCCUUAGGUUUGGAAUAACUCCCCGGAAGGGGUGCUAAUACCGGAUAAAGUAUUCGGAACAAAGAGUGAUCGGCUUUGGGUGGGCGUGGGUUGGAUUAGCUAGUUGGUAGGGUAAAAGCCUACCAAGGCGACGAUCCAUAGCUGGUCUGAGAGGAUGAUCAGCCACACUGGGACUGAGACACGGCCCAGACUCCUACGGGAGGCAGCAGUGGGGAAUAUUGGACAAUGGGCGAAAGCCUGAUCCAGCAAUGCCGCGUGAGUGAUGAAGGCCUUAGGGUUGUAAAGCUCUUUUACCCGGGAUGAUAAUGACAGUACCGGGAGAAUAAGCCCCGGCUAACUCCGUG